AUGAGGCUUGGCGAUUACUAACUGACAUUUAAUAGGGUUAACACGGCUUGAAAGCAAGAACUGUUCACAUCAUAAAGUUUAGAGAAGCCCGAACUGCCGUUUUUGAACGGUUUGGUUUGGUGAAUCAGUUCUCUUCACGGAACUGAAAGCUCGAGUCCCUUCCUUCUUCGCUUAUUGAAAGCACACAUCUCGUUGCUAAGAGGUAAGUGUCCCGUAGGUCAUUCGACUCCACUAUAAUACAAUAAAAUAGAGGACCGACCUUGGUUGGCCCACUGAUUGGGUGCAAGCGGCGCUCCUUCCUUUCUUAAUCUUUAUCGGUGAG
rnacentral:lncRNA from 1 species